ACCAAUGUCUGUAGCUCCAAGUAUGAGAGGUCCACCCACAGCAGCAACAUAAGCAUAACCACCACAAACUCUUGAACAGACAGUCAUUCCGAAUAAGAGAUAUCUUCUUCAUACUCGUCCAGUAUGUAGAUUAGGGCCCACUUUCUUGCAGCUAAAACACAAGCCACACCUCUACCUCCCAUUGCCAAAAAAAAGAUCAACUUGAUUUCAGUCCAGUGUUCCUUGAAUGUAUGGCCAUAACUAACAUGAUGUUUAGAUACCUUUGUUGGGUAAAAGUAAAAUUACAACACAUGCAUUAUGCUAAAACACAGGAAUUACAACACAUGCAUUAUGCUAAAACACAGGCAGGAAGCAAACCUUGUUUGCCUAAAGAGGCUACAGCAUGCAUAUAACUAUGAAUGCUCCACAGUAUCUUGCUACACUAGAUGCCAUGAUAGUAUCU
rnacentral:lncRNA from 1 species